rnacentral:rRNA from 1 species
AACGAACGCUGGCGGCAGGCUUAACACAUGCAAGUCGAGCGCCCCGCAAGGGGAGCGGCAGACGGGUGAGUAACGCGUGGGAACGUACCCUUUGCUACGGAAUAGCUCCGGGAAACUGGAAUUAAUACCGUAUGUGCCCUACGGGGGAAAGAUUUAUCGGCAAAGGAUCGGCCCGCGUUGGAUUAGCUAGUUGGUGGGGUAAUGGCCUACCAAGGCGACGAUCCAUAGCUGGGCUGAGAGGAUGAUCAGCCACAUUGGGACUGAGACACGGCCCAAAAUCCUACGGGAGGCAGCAGUGGGGAAUAUUGGACAAUGGGCGCAAGCCUGAUCCAGCCAUGCCGCGUGAGUGAUGAAGGCCUUAGGGUUGUAAAGCUCUUUCACCGGAGAAGAUAAUGACGGUAUCCGGAGAAGAAGCCCCGGCUAACUUCGUGCCAGCCGCCGCCGUAAAAC